ACUGGCUCAAGCCGGUAGCCAGAGAUAGGAAUUUACAGGCAUCUCUUUGUCAUGCAGACUGGGCUCCCCACUUUCCCACUGUUUCUUUUAAAUGGACUAUUCAGGCAAUUGCCUGUGAGCUUAGAGUGACAUACACCCUAUUCCCUUAAAUGUACUACUGGUAGUCAUGUGCUCACUAUCUCUGCCUUACUCUUGAUUCCUGCCUCCAGUGAACCCAGGAUGAAGGAGUGUUUCGACUCAUCUGACUCAUUAUGCCUUCUUUGCCCUGGAUCUUACACAGAAAUGCUCUCCAUACCUUGCCACUGCUGCUGGGAAGGAACAGGGGAGGAGUGACAUUGAGAUUCAAGACUAUUUUUCCUACCUCUUCAGUGCCUCUUUCAGCCAUAUGAAGUUAAAACCAGGUAAUGUGAGUGCUGAUCUGAUUUCUGAUUCAUUUGAAGGUGCUUUUUCUAUGUGUAGAUAGUUGUUAAAUUGAUAUCUUUGGGGGGUGACAAGCAGUAAAGCCUUCUAUUCUGCCAUCUGGCUCUACUCCUGUCUCUCAAUAAUUGCUUAUGGAUUAGGAGCUGAGGCACAGCUUUGGUGGAUCAUUUCCUCAAAAUCUUAAACAGUUAUAAUUAAGCUGUUGGUGAGAAUUGUAGGGUCAUGUAAGGCUCAGCAUCCUCUCCCACACUCAUAGGGGGUCCUAUUAGUAGAAUUCAGCUUCUUGCAGCUGUAGGACUGAGACCCUCAGUCUCCAGAGGCUGCCCCUCUGCACAGGCAGUUCACAACAUGGCUGUUUGCUUUCAUCCUUGAACCCUGCAGGAAAGUAAUCUUUCAGUCUCUUUUAAGGGACUCCCCAGAUUAGGUCAAACCAAUGCAAAAUAAUCUGUGGUUGAAUAACUAAAAGCCAACUAAUAUGGACCUUUAUUGAAUCUCCAAAAUUUCUUCACCUUUGCAAUGUAACUUAAUCACAAGAGAGAAACACAUCAUUUUCACAGGUCUCACCCGCACUUAAUUAUGGGAGGGGAUUAUAUAUAAGGUGUAUGCCAUGGGUUAUUUUGGGACCAGCUUAGAAUUCUGUGCACAGACUGUUUUGCCAUAUACCAAAAGAUUAGCCCAGAGUCAUUUAAAUUUUUUGGGGGGUGGAUAGGGGGAAUAUCGGUGAUGGAAAGAAC
rnacentral:lncRNA from 10 species